rnacentral:tRNA from 1 species
UCAGUAGCUGAGUGGAUAACGCAAUGGCGUUUGAAGCGGACGGUACUGGGUUCGAGUCCCAGAGUGA